GAACUGUUCCAUGAGGCUGUAAUCAAAUUUCCUACAAACAACAACAACAAAACUUUGCCUUAUUCAAAAAGUCCACAAGUCUGGGAACUGGUGAUAUAGAUGAUUCAAGAAAGGUGGCAGCGAACGAAAGAAGAAAUACAAGACAGAAACUAGUGGAAGAUGCAUGCUUGAGGGAGGUUGUUUUUACAUUUUUAUUGUUUCAGAGUCUUGCCUAUGCAAUAAAAGACCUACCCAGUGCAAUUAUACUUAUAAUUAAUUGGUUAUUUACUUUAAAGUGUUUAAUAGGAAGUCACUCAAAAAAUCUAUGCAUACCUUAAUAAUUUAACAUAAGACAUAAUUUUGUAUUCAUCUGCCAAUCUUUUAUGAAGCGAGAGGCAGGAUACUGAGGCUGCUCAUUGAGAUCCCACUUCUGCCUUUUGUAUGAGUUUUCUAUAAAACGGCAAGUGUAUUGUAUGACCUGCCCUUUAUACUUUUGGUUUCUUUAUCGUGGAAUGAGAACUUCAGACACAUGCAGACGAGCAGUCGGGGACUGUAACCUUUUUAGUUUAUCAGAAUUUCCCGCAGUUUUUCUGGUUUCAGUUCAGUUCAGGUAUUCUUAGUGACUGCCUAGUGCUAAUGGCCAAGCCCUGCAGUUUCCAGGAAACUAGUAAACAAUAGUGCACAUAUGGCUUCAUCGAACAACCUCAGUGGAAACAGUACCAUGCUGAAUUCUGCACGUGUGUGUUAAUCUUUACAAAGCACACACUCCAAGUGUGCACUUCCUGCCCUUUGGGAGACUCGUACACUAAUGCAUAGUCGUGUAAUCAUGGUUUUAGUUCCAGCUUUGCCCAUGUGUUAUUGUACAGAAAGCAGUUCUCUGCUUAAAACAGGGGUAGUAGUAGGCAGUCUCUCUUAAGAGAAUUAGUGUGGAUAUUUGCAGAGUGCUUUGGAUUCCCCUGAACAGGCAUUUAAACAAAUAAACAAUCACACUUACUAUAUUUAUUUGGCAGAGAACAAUCUUAAUAAUGGAUUAUAUUGUUUCUUCGAGCUUAUUGAUGUUUUUAAUAAGGAGCAAAGGAUAUGUAAAGCUAUGAAUUUUCACGAAUUCAGCUGUUUCUUUAUGUAAUGCAACAUUUUGAAUAGCUUAUGGAAUAUUGGAAUCUAUUCGUAUCUUUAAAAACUGUAUCUUAAUUUUAUGUGGUGUGAAAUCUUACUCAAAAUACAUGACCAAUAGACUUUUCAGUGAGUGUCAUUAUUCUGUCUAAACAAGGCUCUUUCCUCCCUGUACUUCUUGUCCUCUCCUGACCUCUGCUGGUGAGAUCUAGGUGUGUGGGACUCCAGUCCACCAUCCUCAGUCACCCAUUCCAAUACUCAAAUAGGAGAGACAGAAAAGCAUCUGAAGAUUUGAACUUCAGUAGAGUUCCAGGAUUUCUUAUUCUAGAAGAGAAGUCCAUUUAAUAUCCGUCCAUGCAUUAUGUAUAUGUAGGGCCAUUACUGUCAGGAUUAUUAAUCAUGUUAAUCACCUUAAGACAACUGGGCAUCAGAUUGCAAACUUCAAAUGAAAGGUUUAGUCCUUUUCUGAAAACAGCUCAUGGGAAGAAAAGUGCACCACAUGGUUGGUUUUCAUAGUCAGUGAGGUAAUAGAGAGCUAGCAGUAGACUUAAAGAUCUCGGCGUUAUAUUCCUUUGGAUAGAUGUUGUUUUGAAGUUCUCAGGGGAAUAUAAUUUUCUUAUACUAGGGUCUCCUAUAUGAUUUUAGCAGUCACAACGUUGAGCUCACCUAGUACCCGAUUUUUAGCUUUUGAAAACCAUUCCCCAUUAAAAAGAACCACUGUUUCUUAAAAAAGUGGCUGAUCUAGGUUUGGGGUAGAAAAAGUAUAAAGUAAAGUGAACCUGAUUAUCUUGUGCCAGAUAGGGCAUGUCUCAAGGAUCCAUUUGAAGGGGCAGAUCUCCAACCAGAUAAGAGGCAGUCCUGCCAAAUUUGGGACAGUUUGAGCUUCAAAAGAAUAAUGAUGAGAGUGGAUUAUAACACAUAGAAUGAAAUAUUUCUUUGGGGUGCCUGAGUGUCUUAGUCAGUUAAACCUCCGACUCCAUAUUCGACUCGGGUCAUGACCUCACAGUUCAUGAGUUUGAGCCCCACGUCAGGUUCUACCCUGACAGUGUAGAGCCUGCUUGGGAUUCUCUCUCUCUCUCUCUCUCUCUCUCUCUCUCUCUCUGUGCCUCCCCCACACUCUUGUUCUCUCUCUCAAAACAAAUAUAUAAACAUUUGAAAAAAAAAAAAAGUUCUUUAUACCACAGUGUCAUUUCAAAGGGAAGAGGGGCUAGAAGAGAAAGAUUUUUAAAUAGAAAAGUGUCAAUAAUAGAGAAGGAGUCCUAGAAAAAAACCCACCACAUCAUUGUAGAACCACCAGAAUCAGAAUCUGUUCAGACAGGGGUUAUUUGAGGGUAAUAAGACCACUGGAUAGAAUUGUGAAGGAACAGGAUGUCCACACUCCCUCAAAGCCUACCACACAGAUUACAGUUGACCGUUGACCAUACAGUGGGGGCAGGGGUGCUGACCCCUCAUGCAGUCGAAAAUCCACAUAGAACUUCUGAGUUCCCCUAAUCUUAAUUACUAAUAGCCUGCUAUUGACUAAAAGCCUUACAGAUAACGUGAACAGUCAAUUAAUAUAUUUUGAAUGCUAUAUGUAUUAGAUACUGUAUUCUUACAAUAAAGUAAGCUGGAGAAAAGAAAAUGAUGUUAAGAAAAUUGUAAGAAAGAGAAAAUACAUUUAGAGUACUAUGCUGUAUCAGAAAAAAAUCCGCAUAUAAGCGGACUCUCAUAGUUCAAACCCAUAUGUCAUUUAAGGGUGAGCUGUAUAAAUACAUGGUGCAGUGUUCUAACUUUUUGCGUGCUCAAAAUAUUUCAGAAUAAAAGUUGGGAGAAGUCAGAUGUCUGUGUAUGAAGUCAACAGAGCUUCUGGUAGCAAUUUUGUGUAGACUUCUAAUAUCAGUAGUUCUGCCUUUUGGCGAUACUUUGAAAGGUGUUGCCAACAUGAUGGAAUGAUAAACAUUUUUACCAUUAUGUAAGAGAUACUAUUAUAAUUUAUUUCUGGUUAUUUCUAUAUUACAAUGAUUGAAUUACUUUCAAAAGUAUUUAUGAUCUUGGUUCAUCCAUUCAUAGUUUUUCUCUUUCAUACCCCUCUACCUCUGGUAGAAUGCUAUUAAUUGUUUCACAGUGCUGUUCACUCAUUUUUCUGUAUAUAAAUUGUGUUUAACUUAAAAAUAUUUAACUCUUUAAAUAUAACAACCACUCUUUUAGGUGAUGAAAUUAGAACAGGAAUAUAUGAUACAGUUCCUAUUGUCAAGGAGUUUCUAUGGUAAUAAUAAUAAUAAUAAUAAUAAUAAUAAUGAUAUGAUUUGGCCAUUUAGGGCAA